rnacentral:lncRNA from 1 species
AGUACACACGCGCGCACACACAUAUAUAUAUAUAGGCAAUUAAUAUUUCCACAAGCAAAAAUGAUAGUUCCACAAAGUCCCUCUCAGGAAUAGUAAAGUUAAAAGCAUCACAUUUUUACUCUUUUUAUUGAUAAACUAUAAAAUUACAUAACAUCCUCAAGUUUGCAAUCAGAAAUUUGAACUUAUUAUGAAACAACCCGGGUCAAAUCUCGAGUCCGGAAUAAAUCUCGGGUCACAUCUCAAGUCCGAAUCGAAUCGAAUCCAUCAAAAUAAAGUCUCAAACUACUGGCCCAAUAGCCCAAAAAUCUUUGCCUCUCUAGUCAUUGUGGGAUAAUACCGGCUGACUUCGUGUCCCCACAUCCGGACCUCCAUUGUGGGAUAAUACUACCAGCCUUUAUGUCCCCACCUCCGGCAACCCGAUCGGAUGACCUGACCUGAGCCUUCGAGAGUCGGCUUUGAUACCAUAUAAAACAACCCGGGUCAAAUCCCGAGUCCGGAAUAAAUAUCGAGUCAAAUCCCAAGUCCGAAUCGAAUCAAAUCCAUCAAAAUAAAGCCUCAAACUACUGGCCCAAUAGUAUCUUCUUGGGUCAUUUUAGCCCACCACAAGCUCUCAAAAGGUCAUGACUUGAAGGUACUAUUGGUAGUAAUUUUAUUCUAUCUUUCGAUAUGGGACUGGGGUGGUAAAUAUUAUAUAGCCUCUUCUUAUCAUCCACAGCUACAAAAUUAAUUAACUUACUAUUUUUAACAGCAAAUAUAAAACAAAAACCUUAAUAUUUACAUAUUUUGCAAAUGGGAACCCCUUUUUUGAAUUAGAAGAAGUAUAACAUUUCAACUUUAGCCUCGUCCCCAAAAAAAUAUAAAAUCAAUACAUAUAUAUAUAUAUAUAUAUAUAUAUAUAUUAUGCUGAAAUCGAUACCACAGUCCCCGUAAACAAUUCUAACCAGCCAAAAAAAGUUGCAUCAAAUAAGGAUAUACUGAUUAUUGUAAUAUUCUACAUAUUUAAAGAAUAUAAUUUAUACAAAACAGUUUAAUUAUGUACCUGGGGGUUCAUCAUCAGAUUCGUAACAAGCUUGCUCGUAUUUUUGGGAUUCUUAGCAGCAGCAGCACAUAAUAAUCGAAGAAAGGAUAAGAGGCAGAGCUCUAACUAAACCGUUUCAACGGUUGACUUAUU